CAGUCGCCGCGGGAAUACGGAGGGUGCAAGCGUUAAUCGGAAUUACUGGGCGUAAAGCGCGCGUAGGUGGUUUGUUAAGUUGGAUGUGAAAUCCCCGGGCUCAACCUGGGAACUGCAUCCAAAACUGGCAAGCUAGAGUAUGGUAGAGGGUGGUGGAAUUUCCUGUGUAGCGGUGAAAUGCGUAGAUAUAGGAAGGAACACCAGUGGCGAAGGCGACCACCUGGACUGAUACUGACACUGAGGUGCGAAAGCGUGGGGAGCAAACAGGAUUAGAUACCCGCGUAGUCCCUGUCUCUUAUAC
rnacentral:rRNA from 1 species